rnacentral:rRNA from 1 species
CAGCCGCCGCGGUAAUACAGAGGGUGCGAGCGUUAAUCGGAUUUACUGGGCGUAAAGCGUGCGUAGGCGGCUUUUUAAGUCGUAUGUGAAAUCCCUGAGCUUAACUUAGGAAUUGCAUUCGAUACUGGGAAGCUAGAGUAUGGGAGAGGAUGGUAGAAUUCCAGGUGUAGCGGUGAAAUGCGUAGAGAUCUGGAGGAAUACCGAUGGCGAAGGCAGCCAUCUGGCCUAAUACUGACGCUGAGGUACGAAAGCAUGGGGAGCAAACAGGAUUAGAUACCCCAGUAGUCCCUGUCUCUUAUAC